UUACAACUGCUAUUAUAGCAGAUAUAUUACACUGAUAUUUACAAUCAGAAAUACAUGAUUGGGACUUAUAUUAUUACAUUGAAUUAUGUGAAGUACAUGCCCAGACAAAUAAUCCCUUACAGAAGAGGGAUGUCCAUACUCUACUCGUAUUGCACGAGGGAGAGGAAAUUUUUGAAAUAUUAAACAAAUAAGCACGUUAGCCCCCACAAAUACUUUUGUGGGGGCUUGAACCGCUGCCCUCACAAUGCUUGUG
rnacentral:lncRNA from 1 species